rnacentral:rRNA from 1 species
AACGAACGCUGGCGGCAUGCCUAACACAUGCAAGUCGAACGAAGCCCUCGGGCUUAGUGGCGCACGGGUGCGUAACGCGUGGGAAUCUGCCCUUUGGUUCGGAAUAACAGUUGGAAACGACUGCUAAUACCGGAUGAUGACGAAAGUCCAAAGAUUUAUCGCCAGAGGAUGAGCCCGCGUAGGAUUAGCUAGUUGGUGUGGUAAAGGCGCACCAAGGCGACGGUCCUUAGCUGGUCUGAGAGGAUGAUCAGCCACGCUGGGACUGAGAAACGGCCCAGACUCCUACGGGAGGCAGCAGUGGGGAAUAUUGGACAAUGGGCGAAAGCCUGAUCCAGCAAUGCCGCGUGAGUGAUGAAGGCCCUAGGGUUGUAAAGCUCUUUUACCCGGGAUGAUAAUGACAGUACCGGGAGAAUAAGCCCCGGCUAACUCCGUGCCAGCAGCCGCCGUAA